CUGGAGGUAUCAGAAGUGCGAAUGCUGACAUAAGUAACGAUAAAGCGGGUGAAAAGCCCGCUCGCCGGAAGACCAAGGGUUCCUGUCCAACGUUAAUCGGGGCAGGGUGAGUCGACCCCUAAGGCGAGGCCGAAAGGCGUAGUCGAUGGGAAACAGGUUAAUAUUCCUGUACUUGGUGUUACUGCGAAGGGGGGACGGAGAAGGCUAUGUUGGCCGGGCGACGGUUGUCCCGGUUUAAGCGUGUAGGCUGGUUUUCCAGGCAAAUCCGGAAAAUCAAGGCUGAGGCGUGAUGACGAGGCACUACGGUGCUGAAGCAACAAAUGCCCUGCUUCCAGGAAAAGCCUCUAAGCAUCAGGUAACAUCAAAUCGUACCCCAAACCGACACAGGUGGUCAGGUAGAGAAUACCAAGGCGCUUGAGAGAACUCGGGUGAAGGAACUAGGCAAAAUGGUGCCGUAACUUCGGGAGAAGGCACGCUGAUAUGUAGGUGAAGUCCCUCGCGGAUGGAGCUGAAAUCAGUCGAAGAUACCAGCUGGCUGCAACUGUUUAUUAAAAACACAGCACUGUGCAAACACGAAAGUGGACGUAUACGGUGUGACGCCUGCCCGGUGCCGGAAGGUUAAUUGAUGGGGUUAGCCGCAAGGC
rnacentral:rRNA from 1 species